rnacentral:rRNA from 1 species
GAUGAACGCUGGCGGCGUGCCUAAUACAUGCAAGUCGAGCGAACGGACGAGAAGCUUGCUUCUCUGAUGUUAGCGGCGGACGGGUGAGUAACACGUGGAUAACCUACCUAUAAGACUGGGAUAACUUCGGGAAACCGGAGCUAAUACCGGAUAAUAUUUUGAACCGCAUGGUUCAAAAGUGAAAGACGGUCUUGCUGUCACUUAUAGAUGGAUCCGCGCUGCAUUAGCUAGUUGGUAAGGUAACGGCUUACCAAGGCAACGAUGCAUAGCCGACCUGAGAGGGUGAUCGGCCACACUGGAACUGAGACACGGUCCAGACUCCUACGGGAGGCAGCAGUAGGGAAUCUUCCGCAAUGGGCGAAAGCCUGACGGAGCAACGCCGCGUGAGUGAUGAAGGUCUUCGGAUCGUAAAACUCUGUUAUUAGGGAAGAACAUAUGUGUAAGUAACUGUGCACAUCUUGACGGUACCUAAUCAGAAAGCCACGGCUAACUACGUGCCAGCAGCCGCGGUAAUACGUAGGUGGCAAGCGUUAUCCGGAAUUAUUGGGCGUAAAGCGCGCGUAGGCGGUUUUUUAAGUCUGAUGUGAAAGCCCACGGCUCAACCGUGGAGGGUCAUUGGAAACUGGAAAACUUGAGUGCAGAAGAGGAAAGUGGAAUUCCAUGUGUAGCGGUGAAAUGCGCAGAGAUAUGGAGGAACACCAGUGGCGAAGGCGACUUUCUGGUCUGUAACUGACGCUGAUGUGCGAAAGCGUGGGGAUCAAACAGGAUUAGAUACCCUGGUAGUCCACGCCGUAAACGAUGAGUGCUAAGUGUUAGGGGGUUUCCGCCCCUUAGUGCUGCAGCUAACGCAUUAAGCACUCCGCCUGGGGAGUACGACCGCAAGGUUGAAACUCAAAGGAAUUGACGGGGACCCGCACAAGCGGUGGAGCAUGUGGUUUAAUUCGAAGCAACGCGAAGAACCUUACCAAAUCUUGACAUCCUUUGACAACUCUAGAGAUAGAGCUUUCCCCUUCGGGGGACAGAGCGACAGGUGGUGCAUGGUUGUCGUCAGCUCGUGUCGUGAGAUGUUGGGUUAAGUCCCGCAACGAGCGCAACCCUUAAGCUUAGUUGCCAUCAUUAAGUUGGGCACUCUAAGUUGACUGCCGGUGACAAACCGGAGGAAGGUGGGGAUGACGUCAAAUCAUCAUGCCCCUUAUGAUUUGGGCUACACACGUGCUACAAUGGACAAUACAAAGGGCAGCGAAACCGCGAGGUCAAGCAAAUCCCAUAAAGUCGUUCUCAGUUCGGAUUGUAGUCUGCAACUCGACUACAUGAAGCUGGAAUCGCUAGUAAUCGUAGAUCAGCAUGCUACGGUGAGUACGUUCCCGGGUCU